CUUCCUGUGUAAGUUCUGGUAGUCCCCUCUCUUCUCUUCCCUUCCUGUAUAAGUUCUGGUAGUCCCCUCUCUUCCCUUCCUGUGUAAGUUCUGGUAGUCCCCUCUCUUCACUUCCUGUGUAAGUUCUUCCCCUCUCUUCUCUUCCCUUCCUGUAUAAGUUCUGGUAGUCCCCUCUCUUCCCUUCUCUUCCUGUGUAAGUUCUGGUAGUCCCCUCUCUUCUCUUCCCUUCCUGUGUAAGUUCUGGUAGUCCCCUCUCUUCCCUUCUCUUCCUGUGUAAGUUCUGGUAGUCCCCUCUCUUCUCUUCCCUUCCUGUGUAAGUUCUGGUAGUCCCUUCUCUUCCCUUCCUGUGUAAGUUCUGGUUGUCCCUUCUGUUCCUGUGUAAGUUCUGGUAGUCCCCUCUCUUCUCUUCCCUUCCUGUGUAAGUUCUGGUUGUCCUCUCUCUUCCCUUCCUGUGUAAGUUCUGGUUGUCCCCUCUCUUCCCUUCCUGUGUAAGUUCUGGUAGUCCCCUCUCUUCCCUUCCUGUGUAAGUUCUGGUAGUCCCCUCUCUUCCCUUCCUGUAUAAGUUCUGGUUGUCCCUUCUCUUCCCUUCCUGUGUAAGUUCUGGUUGUCCCCUCUCUUCCCUUCUCUUCCUGUGUAAGUUCUGGUUGUCCCCUCUCCCUUCCCUUCUCUUCCUGUGUAAGUUCUGGUAGUCUCCUCUCUUCCCUUCCUGUGUAAGUUCUGGUAGUCCCCUCUCUUCCCUUCCUGUAUAAGUUCUGGUUGUCCCCCUCUUCCCUUCUCUUCCUGUGUAAGUUCUGGUUGUCCCCUCUCUUCUUCUUCUCUUCCUGUGUAAGUUCUGGUUGUCCCCUCUCUUCCCUUCCCUUCUCUUCCUGUGUAAGUUCUGGUUGUCCCCUCUCUUCCCUUCCUGUGUAAGUUCUGUCCCCCUCUUCUCUUCCCUUCCUGUGUAAGUUCUGGUUGUCCCCUCUCUUCUCUUCCCUUCCUGUGUAAGUUCUGGUAGUCCCCUCUCUUCCCAUCCUGUGUAAGUUCUGGUAGUCCCCCC
ensembl:lncRNA